GAGGAAGGCCAGAGGCAGUGAGCACUGCUAAUUCUCACAUUCAUGGUUAAACUCCAUGGCUUCCUUA
rnacentral:tRNA from 1 species